rnacentral:rRNA from 1 species
UACGAAGGGUGCAAGAGUUAAUCGGAAUUACUGGGCGUAAAGCGUGCGUAGGUGGUUUCCUAAGUCCGUUGUGAAAGCCCUGGGCUCAACCUGGGAACGGCAGUGGAUACUGGGAAGCUGGAGUGCGGUAGAGGAUGGCGGAAUUCCCGGUGUAGCGGUGAAAUGCGUAGAGAUCGGGAGGAACAUCCGUGGCGAAGGCGGCCAUCUGGACCAGCACUGACGCUGAGGCUCGAAAGCGUGGGGAGCAAACAGG